GUAAAGAGCUCGUAGGCGGUUUGUCGCGUCUGCUGUGAAAUCCCGAGGCUCAACCUCGGGCCUGCAGUGGGUACGGGCAGACUAGAGUGCGGUAGGGGAGAUUGGAAUUCCUGGUGUAGCGGUGGAAUGCGCAGAUAUCAGGAGGAACACCGAUGGCGAAGGCAGAUCUCUGGGCCGUAACUGACGCUGAGGAGCGAAAGGGUGGGGAGCAAACAGGCUUAGAUACCCUGGUAGUCCACCCCGUAAACGUUGGGAACUAGUUGUGGGGUCCAUUCCACGGAUUUCCGUGACGCAGCUAACGCAUUAAGUUCCCCCGCCCUGGGGAGUACGGCCGCAAGGCUAAAACUCAAAGGAAUUGACGGGGACCCGCACAAGCGGCGGAGCAUGCGGAUUAAUUCGAUGCAACGCGAAGAACCUUACCAAGGCUUGACAUAUACGAGAACGGGCCAGAAAUGGUCAACUCUUUGGACACUCGUAAACAGGUGGUGCAUGGUUGUCGUCAGCUCGUGUCGUGAGAUGUUGGGUUAAGUCCCGCAACGAGCGCAACCCUCGUUCUAUGUUGCCAGCACGUAAUGGUGGGAACUCAUGGGAUACUGCCGGGGUCAACUCGGAGGAAGGUGGGGAUGACGUCAAAUCAUCAUGCCCCUUAUGUCUUGGGCUUCACGCAUGCUACAAUGGCCGGUACAAAGGGCUGCAAUACCGUGAGGUGGAGCGAAUCCCAAAAAGCCGGUCCCAGUUCGGAUUGAGGUCUGCAACUCGACCUCAUGAAGUCGGAGUCGCUAGUAAUCG
rnacentral:rRNA from 1 species